rnacentral:lncRNA from 1 species
CAUCCAGCCUACUAGCAAACACAAAGCAGCAGCUGUAGUGCACUCCACUCGGCAGACACCACACACGAAUCAGCAAGAGCAGUUCAAUCCAGAAGAAACUGCGAGGCUCACCAACUGGUCCAAGUCCUCAGAAGUGGCAAGAAGCUGCAGGAAUCUCACAAGAAGUUCUUUGGCAAGUUUCUGUCUAUGAAGUUGCCACAAGUGAAGCUCAAGGAUGCAGUGUAAGGUGAGCGAAUACAUGUGUGAAGUCAGAAAAGACUGGCAAGGUGGAGCAAAGCGAACCAACCCUUGAGCUCCCACUGUCUGUGUUAUAUUCCUUCUCAGAAUCACAUGUCCUUUCACAUGUCUGCUAUAGCAAAAUAUCCUUUCACCUGUGUCUGCUUCAGCAAAACAUUUUUUAUCAGCCUGCUUUAGCAAAACAUCAUUGUAACCGAGUCUCCAAAGAAACCAGAAAUUUCCACCUUAUUCUUCCUUCCAGCCUUGAGAACCUUGUGACCUCCCACCGUGGUGGCACUCCAGCUGUCUGUCACUGGUGAGCUCUUAGGGCAUGUCUGUGGUUUCUUUAGUAGACGUGAUGUCAAGAGAAGUGUUUUCACCUGAAUCACACUCCAGUCCUAGCUAGUAAGCCAGAAGAAGUAGAAAAGGCUUUUUUAAAAUGCUGAGUCUGAAGCAGCGUAGCAACACCUUGCAGCUCUAGAGUAGCAGCAGCUGAGGAAGAGAGCAGUGGCCAUCUUGAUCCCACUCUCCUCUCCCCUUUGGAGAGUGCAUCCUUGGUCGCUCCAGCCAGGCCAGAGCCCCUGCAAAUCUCUGUGGAUAGCUUAGCGGAUAGCAUCUGGCAGACAGACCAGCAAUGCUUCCUUCAGCUUUAUCACUAUUUGUUUUG